rnacentral:rRNA from 1 species
UACGGGGGAAGCAAGCGUUGUUCGGAUUUACUGGGCGUAAAGGGCGCGUAGGCGGCCACCGCAAGUCGACUGUGAAAUCUCCGGGCUUAACCCGGAAAGGUCAGCCGAUACUGCGGGGCUAGAGUGCAGAAGGGGCAACUGGAAUUCUCGGUGUAGCGGUGAAAUGCGUAGAUAUCAGGAGGAACACCGGUGGCGAAGGCGGCUUGCUGGGCCUUACCUGACGCUGAGGAGCGAAAGCGUGGGGAGCGAACAGG